UGGGGGAGGCCGGAUCCUGGGCUGAGCCUCCGCACCCUGGGCUCCCAGGCCUGCGCUGCUGGAUUCGUGCUCCCGGCCGCGCAGCCCCCU
rnacentral:pre_miRNA from 1 species